rnacentral:rRNA from 1 species
GAUGAACGCUGGCGGCGUGCCUAAUACAUGCAAGUCGAGCGAACAGACGAGGAGCUUGCUCCUCUGACGUUAGCGGCGGACGGGUGAGUAACACGUGGAUAACCUACCUAUAAGACUGGGAUAACUUCGGGAAACCGGAGCUAAUACCGGAUAAUAUAUUGAACCGCAUGGUUCAAUAGUGAAAGACGGUUUUGCUGUCACUUAUAGAUGGAUCCGCGCCGCAUUAGCUAGUUGGUAAGGUAACGGCUUACCAAGGCAACGAUGCGUAGCCGACCUGAGAGGGGGGCCGGCCCCACCGGAAAGUGGGACCCGCCCAAGCCCCCUGGGGGGGGAAGAGGGAGGGAUUCUCCCGAAUUGGGGAAAGGCGGAAGGGACAACCGCCGGGGGAGUAAUGAAGGUUUUGGGAUCUAAAAACUUUUUUAUUGGGGAAAAAAAAAUGUGAAAGUAACUAUGCGCGUCUUGACGGUCCCUAAUAGGAGGGCCGGGGCAACGUAGGUG